rnacentral:rRNA from 1 species
UACGGGGGGGGCAAGCGUUGUUCGGAAUUACUGGGCGUAAAGGGCUCGUAGGUGGCCAACUAAGUCAGACGUGAAAUCCCUCGGCUUAACCGGGGAACUGCGUCUGAUACUGGAUGGCUUGAGUUUGGGAGAGGGAUGCGGAAUUCCAGGUGUAGCGGUGAAAUGCGUAGAUAUCUGAAGGAACACCGGUGGCGAAGGCGGCAUCCUGGACCAACACUGACACUGAGGAGCGAAAGCCAGGGGAGCAAACGGG